rnacentral:siRNA from 1 species
CGAGAAUCCAGUGGUGUGGCCGU